rnacentral:rRNA from 1 species
UACGUAGGGGGCAAGCGUUAUCCGGAUUUACUGGGUGUAAAGGGAGCGUAGACGGCAAUGCAAGUCUGGAGUGAAAGGCGGGGGCCCAACCCCCGGACUGCUCUGGAAACCGUAUAGCUGGAGUGCAGGAGAGGUAAGUGGAAUUCCUAGUGUAGCGGUGAAAUGCGUAGAUAUUAGGAGGAACACCAGUGGCGAAGGCGGCUUACUGGACUGUAACUGACGUUGAGGCUCGAAAGCGUGGGGAGCAAACAGG